UCCCAAGCCUUCUGGCGAUCUGUUGGCAAUGGCCAUGAGCGGAUCGAGGCCUUUUCUUUAUUCGCUUUUAUCUUUUGUCCAAUGAUGCUGGUGAAGGUUAUGCCGGUUUUCUCCGGAGGGCUUGUAGCUCAGUUGGUUAGAGCGCGCGCUUGAUAAGCGUGAGGUCGGAGGUUCAAGUCCUCCCAGGCCCACCAAUAAUCGGUUCCGCUUCGGAUCCUGUUAUUUCGGAUCCUGUGCUAAAACGCUUUUGCCUCUCGAUAAAAGGCCUUUGUUCAAGUAUUCAAGUGUUUAAAUGUUUAAAUGUUUAAAUGUUCAAGUGUCUCUUGUCGUCCUCAAGCGCUUUUUCUUUCGUUUGGGCUGCAAAGAUCCGCCGUGAGAAUAGAUGCAGGGCGGUAUGAAUUUUCCCCUUAGGCGAUAAAAUUUUCCUCUAUGAAAUGUUUUUGCAGCGCUGAGGUCAUGAAUGGAAGGUCGUUAAUGGGUUGCCAAUUUAGGG
rnacentral:misc_RNA from 1 species